UGGCGAGUGGCCAAGCGGUAAGGCGUCUGAUUCUGGAUCAGAAGAUCGAAGGUUCGAAUCCUUCCUCGCCAGCCA
rnacentral:tRNA from 1 species